GACGAACGCUGGCGGCGUGCUUAACACAUGCAAGUCGAACGCUGAACCCGCUUCGGUGGGGGAUGAGUGGCGAACGGGUGAGUAACACGUGGGCAACCUGCCCCCGGCUCUGGGAUAACUCCAAGAAAUUGGGGCUAAUACCGGAUGUGACCGCUGGCCGCAUGGUCUGGUGGUGGAAAGGGUUUCCGGCUGGGGAUGGGCCCGCGGCCUAUCAGCUUGUUGGUGGGGUAGUGGCCUACCAAGGCGACGACGGGUAGCCGGCCUGAGAGGGUGACCGGCCACACUGGGACUGAGACACGGCCCAGACUCCUGCGGGAGGCAGCAGUGGGGAAUAUUGCGCAAUGGGCGGAAGCCUGACGCAGCGACGCCGCGUGGGGGAUGACGGCCUUCGGGUUGUAAACCUCUUUCAGCAGGGACGAAGCGCAAGUGACGGUACCUGCAGAAGAAGCACCGGCCAACUACGUG
rnacentral:rRNA from 1 species